AACGCGAAGAACCUUACCUGGGCUCGAACGGCUGGUCAACGGGGGUGGAAACGCCUCUACUCCGCAAGGAGGUCCAGUCGAGGUGCUGCAUGGCUGUCGUCAGCUCGUGUCGUGAGAUGUUGGGUUAAGUCCCGCAACGAGCGCAACCCUUGUCCUGUGUUGCCAUUCCGCAAGGAGGAACUCGCAGGAGACCGCCAGCGAUAAGCUGGAGGAAGGUGGGGAUGACGUCAAGUCCUCAUGGCCUUUAUGUCCAGGGCUACACACGUGCUACAAUGGCCGGUACAAAGCGCUGCUAAGCCGCGAGGUGGAGCCAAUCGCAAAAAACCGGUCUCAGUUCGGAUUGCAGGCUGCAACUCGCCUGCAUGAAGCUGGAAUCGCUAGUAAUGGCGUAUCAGAACGAUGCCGUGAAUACGUUCCCGGGCCUUGUA
rnacentral:rRNA from 1 species